rnacentral:rRNA from 1 species
CCUACGGGGGGCUGCAGUGGGGAAUAUUGCACAAUGGGCGCAAGCCUGAUGCAGCGACGCCGCGUGAGCGAUGAAGGCCUUCGGGUCGUAAAGCUCUGUCCUAAGGGAAGAAUAAUGACGGUACCUUAGGAGGAAGCCCCGGCUAACUACGUGCCAGCAGCCGCGGUAAUACGUAGGGGGCGAGCGUUAUCCGGAAUCACUGGGCGUAAAGGGUGCGUAGGCGGCCCUGCAAGUCAGGAGUUAAAUCCCUCGGCGGAACCGAGGGAAGCGCUUGAAACUGUAGGGUUUGAGUGGCGGAGAGGAGAGCGGAAUUCCUAGGGGAGCGGUGAAAUGCGUAGGUAUUAGGAGGAGCGCCAGUGGCGAAGGCGGCUCUCUGGACUGCAACUGACGCUGAGGCACGAAAGCGUGGGGAGCGAACAGGAUUAGAUACCCCAGUAGUC